rnacentral:rRNA from 1 species
GAUGAACGCUGGCGGCGUGCCUAAUACAUGCAAGUCGAGCGAACAGAUGAGGAGCUUGCUCCUCUGCCGUUAGCGGCGGACGGGUGAGUAACACGUGGAUAACCUACCUAUAAGACUGGGAUAACUUCGGGAAACCGGAGCUAAUACCGGAUAAUAUAUUGAACCGCAUGGUUCAAUAGUGAAAGACGGUUUUGCUGUCACUUAUAGAUGGAUCCGCGCCACAUUAGCUAGUCGGUAAGGUAACGGCUUACCAAGGCAACGAUGCGUAGCCGACCUGAGAGGGUGAUCGGCCACACUGGAACUGAGACACGGUCCAGACUCCUACGGGAGGCAGCAGUAGGGAAUCUUCCGCAAUGGGCGAAAGCCUGACGGAGCAACGCCGCGUGAGUGAUGAAGGUCUUCGGAUCGUAAAACUCUGUUAUUAGGGAAGAACAAAUGUGUAAGUAACUAUGCACGUCUUGACGGUACCUAAUCAGAAAGCCACGGCUAACUACGUG